CUGAAUUUUCCAUUAUUGUUUUACAGGGUUGAAUCUGAUGUUUGUGAUGCUCAGCCCAAAUGCCUUGACUCCCCUCCCACGUUAACUUUUUGAAGAAAGGAGAUAAGUGCUACUACUUUCCAGUUCUGCUACUCUUAAAUUAGAUUUUGCCAAUUGUUCAAUACAGCAGUACCUCUGCAACAGGGCUGUAGAAAGCAAUUCCUGUUGGCUACAUCAAAGUGUAGUGGCAGAUUUCCCUUUGGAAGUGAGAGCCUGUUUCAAACGUCUCUUCAAGUCCUGCAUAUUUGGUGACUUGGGUCGCACAAGGUGGAGGCCUCUUCG